GUUAGCUCAGGGCGAAGACAGUGUAUGCAAGCGCGAAAGCCAGUGGCUGCUCCCGCUGCGUGCUCGGCACGUCUGAGCUUCUCAGUGCUUCUCAGUGCAGCUUGUAUAUUCCAGCUAGCAAACAGGCCUGGAUUUCCCAGCUGAGAGGAUAUUGCUGGCACAGAAUGUUCUGUCAAAAGUCAGAUCAGAUUCUGCUGCUCAGUAACCUGCUUCAGGCACCAUCAGCCAAGUAGUGUUGGGGCACUGGAACAGAAUCCUCACUGCAGUGGUCAUGGCAUGAAGCCUGCUGGAGUUCAAGAAGCAUUUAGACAAAUGUUUCAGAAAUAUGGCUUGUAUUUUGGAUGGUCCUAAAAUCUAGCUGAACUAGAUCAUUGGAUCUUUCUGGGUCCCUUCCAAAACAAGAUAUUCUAUGGUUCUAUGAUUUUUCCCAUUGUAUGAAUAAUUACACUUGAGUACAGCAGAGUUAAGUAACUCUUUGGAAAAUAAUCUGUUAUAGGUCAGUACUGAAUUCUGAGAAAACACAACCAAGCAGAGGAAAUAUCAUCAGAUUAAGUUUCUUCUUGCCAGCCUGCCCAGAUUAAACACAACAAGAACCUUCUAACCUCUUUAAAAAAUUGUUACAGCACUUCUGUUUGAGUGUUCCUUUAUGAGUGGUACUGAGAAACACUGAGAAGAAGCUAAUCUUCAGUAGGAUUGUCAUAGUCACACAUUAUACUCAAUGGAAUUGAAAUAUUUCUGCUUUGAUCUUGCUGUUUCACAUUCAAAGUGGGGAAGAAAAGUGAAAAAGGAGCUGAAACUUGAUUUUCUUUUUAAUAGUCAUCUUACAGAAUUGUUUCCAUUGAUAUUUAAUUUAAUGCAGUAUAUCUACAAGCUUCAAUAAUUUUUAUAAAUUGCAUGGAAAACAUAUGUAUUUACAGCCUUCUCUUUCAUAUUAGCCAUUGCCUGUUGUUGGCUGGGAUCAAUUUUCCUUUCCUGUGAGCAGAAAAUCUGUGAGUUAAUAAUUUUGUUGUAAAACACUUUUUCUCCUGGGAUUGAUUUAGAUCAGAUUAUAUCUUGAAUUAAUGAAUAAAAUCUGCAAUU
ensembl:lncRNA